rnacentral:rRNA from 1 species
ACGUUGUUCGGAAUUACUGGGCGUAAAGCGUGUGUAGGCGGCCUCAUAAGUCGGGUGUGAAAGCCCCGGGCUCAACCCGGGAAGUGCACUCGAUACUGCGAGGCUUGAGUACUGGAGAGGUUGGUGGAAUUCUCGGUGUAGAGGUGAAAUUCGUAGAUAUCGGGAAGAACACCGGUGGCGAAGGCGGCCAACUGGACAGAUACUGACGCUGAGACACGAAAGCGUG